rnacentral:misc_RNA from 1 species
UCUGGCUUAUAGCCAAGCAGUCUCACUAGAGUCCCCAACUUAAUGCUGGUAACUAGUGAUGAGGGUUGCGCUCGUUGCGGGACUUAACCCAACAUCUCACAACACGAGCUGACGACAGCCAUGCAGCACCUGUCUCCGCGUCUCCGAAGAGAACCCCUAAUUUCUUAGGGUGGCACGGGAUGUCAAGCCCAGGUAAGGUUCUUCGCGUUGCAUCGAAUUAAACCACAUGUUCCACCGCUUGUGCGGGCCCCCGUCAAUUCCUUUGAGUUUUAAUCUUGCGACCGUACUUCCCAGGCGGGACACUUAAUGCGUUAGCUACGGCACCGAGACUAUUGGAAAUCCCGACGCCUAGUGUCCAUCGUUUAGGGCGUGGACUAC